rnacentral:lncRNA from 1 species
UUCUUUGGCAGCCCACAUUGAACAAAGAACUCAAGCACUAUCAUUAGUUUUUAGGUUUUUUUUUAAAUAGGAGUUGCCAUUUUCAGGUUUCUCAAACAUAGUUUUGAAAUGGUUACUUUUCUUUAACUGAUGUGCAGCCCAAUAGAUUGAGUCAUGAUUAAUUUCACGUUCUUGGUCUUGAACCAUCAUUGCAGCUAACUUGGGUCUGUUUUCCAUCAGAAAUCUGUCUUCCAAAAUAUUAAAUACUAUUUGCAACUUCGGGUUGAAUAAUCCUUACAGCAAAAUUGAAACGCAGGGUUUGCUAUCCAUAACCUCCUUCCAGUUAACCUAUAAGCCAAUUAUUUAAAAAUGGUCCUAGACUUUAAACUUACCUGGCUGACAAGUCAUCUGAUGUAAUUUUUAUGCUCAAAGAUUUUAUCUACAAAAUGCAUAAAGUCUGGGCAGCCCGGGUGGCUCAGCGGUUUAGUGCCUGCCUUUGGCCCAGGGUGUGAUCCUGGAGACCCCUGAUCGAGUCCCACAUCGGGCUCCCUGCAUGGAGCCUGCUUCUCCCUCUGCCUCUCUGUCUCUCAUGAGUAAAUAAUUCUUUUUUUAAAAAGUGGGUAAAGUCUUACAGUAUCGUAAGGAUUAAAUGCAAAGUCGCUGAAAAUACUGAGUGCCUUACACUCUGCUAGUAGUAGGCGCUCCAAUAGUUUCCCUUUCCCUCAUUCAAUUAAUAGUGGCGUUUGCUUUGCCUGCUGCCCCCCCCCCCCUUACUAUGUCCUGAUACUUCAGGUCACAGUGCCAUUGCAGAAACAGAAAGGCGUCAUUGGCUUUUAGCUCCGUACUUCAAAAGGAUCAGCGUGUUACUCCUGCUUAAGCAACAAUUCCCAGCGUCCAGGCAACGGAGAGCGACCCCCCCCCCCCCCCCCCNCGCGCUCCCCAGACACCUGCCGGCUGCGCGCUCCUGCACCUGCCGCGGGCCAGGCCCACGCGAGUCCCGCCGCUUGGCUGACCCGACUCCAGGAACCUGCCAGAUCCCCCUCUGGCUCGCUGCUGAGACAGGGAGGUCUCGUACAGGCAGUUAAACAAUUCGACUCCACGGAGAGAAAGCAAGAUCGGUCCAGCUGGUCGCGUCCGAUAGAAGUGUAAAAAUAGAACCAUUUUCUAAAUGACUUUCUUUUCUUACAACUGUUAGUUUUGGCAACGUGCACUCCACAAACACCUCAAUGCUUUUUUUUUCACCAAAACAUAACAACUGAAAAUAUCACCCAAAGAUAUUUCUUCCCCGGGGCCAGUUUCCAAGGCCUACUAGGCCACGCUUUUAAAAUAUUAUUUAUAGAUCAGUGGAUGAAAUAAGAGUCAUGGACACUCUAUUCUUUAUUCACAUUCUCCCAAAGACAUUGUAUGUUUUUCAAGAAAUAUCUGAGAAAUAAAAUGAAAUGGUAUAGUAUUUUUUUUUUCCA